GAAAACAAAUGCUCCCCGUCCACGAUAAGAAUCUCUUAUGGAAAGCAUGUUUAAUGAUGCAGAUGUCAAGGUCAGUUUCCUUUAUAUCUUUUGUUCUUUAUGUUAUUAUUUAUAAAUACGUUUAUUGUUUAUGCAUAUAUUUAUCUACAAAAUAUAAUUUGUCAAUGCUUAUGCAUAUAUGUAUAGGUUAAAUGUUUUGUAAUGUAAGUGAUUUAUGUUCCAACUGUCAUUGGUGUUACCAUCUAAAAAUAAAUUUUGAUGAGGAUGCAAUAUAAAUUGUAGGUUUAUUUUAAGAAUAUUGAGCCAUCACAAAAGGAGAUUUCAUGCUUUCGGAUACCCAAGAAGGUUGUUCCUGCAAGUGUAAGUUACAAAGAUGAUGAGAUUAAUUCGAAUGAUGAUUUCCAGGAUCCGCCACACUCAAAAAAAUAUUCAAUCACUCAAAAAAAAAUAUGGUGAUUCAUCAUCUUCACCUGUCUAGAAAAAGUUGAAGCAACAACAUAAAGGUUUGGAUUAGCAGACACCAAAAAGGACCCCUCCACCUCGUGUUGCAAAUAAGCUUUCUGCCAGGACUCCAAUUUUUAUGCCAAUUCAACAAAAAGAGAAAGUAACUUCAAAGAGGAAGGAUAUAAAUCGGUCA
rnacentral:lncRNA from 1 species